GGUGCAUGCUCAUCAAACACUGCAUCCUGCAUGAUGACAAGAGCUUCACUCCAGAAAAUUAAUGAAGUGCAUGCUCAGUGCUAAGCAGCCAGCAUCUCUCUGACUUCACCUUCUGAUGGUUUUGCCACUGGUUUUUCAAGCGCACGGCAUCCAGCUUCUUCUGGUUCUCCUCUCGCUUCUGCAGCAGUUUCUUAAAGACUUCCAUUUGAACCUUCUGCAAUCUGCAAGGAAAGAAAAGGCUGCAAAGGGAGAAAAGCUGUUCUAGGAUGAUACUUUCUGAGAAUGAGCAGAAGAUACCUUCUUUGGCAUGUGCAGUGUGCAUCACCAUUACAGAGUUCGGAAACUGAGGCCAAAGAUCUGGCUGCCUUCUGCAUGUCCUGACUGGACAUGUGGCUCUGUCCUAAAGAGAGGUGCAAGAUGGAAGAAGACUGGUCACAUUCAUUAAGAAAACCUCCAAACAAACCAACCAGAAACACGUCAGUCAAAGCUGCGAUCAAAACAGAGGAUUACGUGCUGAGAUCAGUUGUCUUCCAAGCCCUCAUCUAAUUCCUGCAAACUGUGCUGUGGAAUCUGGGGAGGUACAGUAUGGCUACCUGCCAGAGGAGAGCUUAGAGUGAGAUGCUUCAUUAACCUCCCACGACACACAAUUUACUGCCAAGGAUGUCACAAUUCCUCCAUGUAUGGUCCUGACCGUCGCACGCUCUAACCUGGGUGCCACCAGUUCGGCUCUUGCAUCCAGAUGUGAACUGACGUAAAACGGAUUCGGACCCAAUCAAGGUGUGUGAUUCAAAAGGAAAGCAGCAGCACAAACCUGCAGACAAUGUCAUUGCUAAGUUUUUAAUCCAGAAUAAGGGAGGCUUCCUUCCAGCCAGCAAUAAGGAGGAGGAAGAUGUGGUCACUAUUCCCAUCACAAAGCAGAGCAUGUUUGUGUGAAUUUGGGAAAAUCAUAUAUUGGUCAAGAAGUGCAACCUGCACAUGUUCCAGAUCAUCACACCUGGUUGCAUGGCCUCACAAUACACGUGUGCUGAACCAGCAGGCUGCGUGAGUACAGGUCACCUGAACAACCUUGCCAGAGAAAUGGCACCGUGGGGAACAGGCUGCUGAGCAGAGAUCCAUGGAU